rnacentral:rRNA from 1 species
CCUACGGGUGGCAGCAGUGAGGAAUAUUGGUCAAUGGACGAGAGUCUGAACCAGCCAAGUAGCGUGAAGGAUGACUGCCCUAUGGGUUGUAAACUUCUUUUAUAAAGGAAUAAAACGAGGCACGUGUGCCCAGGCGGAGAGUACCCGGAGAAAAAGCAUCGGCUAACUCCGUGCCAGCAGCCGCGGUAAUACGGAGGAUGCGAGCGUUAUCCGGAUUUAUUGGGUUUAAAGGGUGCGCAGGCGGGCUGUUAAGCCGGCGGUAAAAAUUCAGGGCUCAACCCUGUCGAGCCGUCGGAACUGGCAGUCUUGAGUGGGCGAGAAGUAUGCGGAAUGCGUGGUGUAGCGGUGAAAUGCAUAGAUAUCACGCAGAACGCCGAUUGCGAAGGCAGCAUACCGGCGCCCAACUGACGCUGAGGCACGAAAGUGUGGGGAUCGAACAGGAUUAGAUACCCCUGUAGUC